AAUGAACGCUGGCGGCAUGCCUAACACAUGCAAGUCGAGCGAACGGACGGGAAGUUGUCGUGCCUGAGGUUAGCGGCGGACGGGUGAUUCCCACGUGUAUAACCUACCUAUAAGACUGGGAUACCUACGCGGAACCGUAUCUAAUACCCGAUGAUAUAUUGAACCUCAUGGUUCACACGUGAGAGACGCUCUUUCUUACACUAAUAGAUGGAUCCGGGCUGCAUUAGCUAGUUGGUAAGGAGACGGCUUACCAAGGCUACGAUGCAUAGCCGACCUGAGAGGGUGAUCGGACAGACUGGAACUGAGACACGGUCCAGACUCCUGCGGGAGGCAGCAGUAGGGAAUCUUACGCAAUGGGCGAAAGCCUGAUGGAGCACAGCGGCGUGAGGGAUGAAGGUGUUAGGAUCGUAAAGCUAUGUAAGUCGGGAGGAAGAAAAGUGUAAGUAACCGUGAACAUAUUGACGGUACCUAAAGAGAAAGCCCCGGCUAACUACGUG
rnacentral:rRNA from 1 species